CGGCCCGCGGUCGGUCGGGAGCUGGAGCUGGAGCUGCAGCCACUGCGCCAGCCUCGCUGGGCUGUGGGCUCGGUCGCCCUGCUUCAGCUCUCCGUGACGAUGGGAUGGACUUCACCGACAUAAUUUCAUCACAAUGAGAAAUAAACAGAUAAUCAAAUGAAGUUUCAAGACUCGAGUCUGUAGUUGGCCAUGGGGGGUAUAUUGCUCAUACUUCUAAAGCACAAGGAACACGUAGUUCUGAUCAAUGAAAAAUGUGAACUGCAAAAUGUCAUUAAGGAACUUAAAACGGAAGGCAAGAAAUUGAUGACCAUCAACAUGAAAUAUCAGUAUAGCACAACGCACAUCAACAGAAGUUGACAGACUUAAGUAGUUGGCAUCAAGAGGAAUUAAGUGACUAUGAAGAACGAAUUGAGGAAACAAAAACCUGUUUCAGCAAGGUGGCUCUGGAGUCGCAGAAACUGAUCACUCUAAAAUCCAUGAGAUGUGAAAAAAUAUUCAAGUUGUACAAACUGAAAAAGUAGAGUCUACAAAGAAAUUGAAGAACUUAAGGAUAAAAUAAAAGACAUAAAUAAAAAGUUAUCUUCUGUGGAAAAGUGGCAGACAUGUUUUGAGGAGAGAACAAGAACAGCUAAGUGUGGAGAAGAGACAAAUAAUUUCAGGAUGUGAAAGCUUGAAAUUGGAAUGUAGGAAAUUGCAGCGCAGUGACAUUGUGACACAAAAGGAAAGGAUUCUUCCGCAGAGCGCAUCAGUGGAGAAAGUGUUCAGAUUGCGCCAAGCGCUGUCUGAUGUGGCAACUGAAAUAAUGAGACUGAGUAGUUUAAACCAAGGAAUUCGUGUGACUACUGAAUGCCUACUAUGUGCUGAGCACCCUGCCAGGGACUAAGGUGCUGUAAUAAACAGUCUCCACCAAGUCCAGGGGAGACACGAAGGAGAGGCAGCAGGCCUACUAGGAGACCAGAAAGUUCAGAGGCUCCCCACCUGGUCCUGGGAGAACAAUGGAUCAAAGGCAAGAAGGUCAAGAAUUUGGUACACUGGGGGAUUAGGAAAAAAACAAGGAUGUUUCAAAUCUUUGUGCCACAGUUUCUCUUCCAGGUAAGGUAUGCUAGAUCCUGAGUCUGCUGUUAUCAUGAAGAUCUAACAGAUCUUUACCACUGCCCCUUUUCAUUAAUUGCAUAGCAUAGCUUUCUCCACUGCCAUUAUACAGAAGCUGGGAGAAGAGAUAUGCCUAGAAAAUCCUUGCUGGAAAUGGCCUCCAGAAAUACAAACUAUGGUAGCAAUCAUUGGAAAAAUUCAGUACUGAGGGCCCCAUGGCCCAAGGACUACAAAGUCUCAGCUGCUUGUGAGGUUCUGUCCAGGUAUUUCCCAUCUACUCUUCCAAAAUCUGUUCUUUUAGGUAAUGGAAAAGGUACAGGUUAGUCCUUCUUUUGAUUCAAUCAACUGUUAAAGAUCACCAGAAACACAGUAUUUUUGAUAUGUGAAUGUCAUGUGCCAGUGAAGAACUUUCCAUAUUUUCAGAUUCCCUCCGACAUGUGUGUGAUCCUGUCACCAUCGCCUGACCUAUUCCUACACUUUGAAAGUAUCUCAGUUUUCAGAAAUUCCAACUGAUCAAGAGGUAGCAUUAGGACACACUGGACUGGCUGCUGUAAGUGUUCUAUCCCCUUGUCUGCGGGGAAACAACACUGGAGAUCUCUCUCUGCACUAGGCACUCUUGUUUCUACAGGGUCCAUCUCACAUGUAAAGCAUAAAAAUGCAUCCACAUCCCCUAUUACACAUGAACAGCUCCCUACCAAAAAAACUGAAGGAGUACUUAAAAUUUUCCUUUUCUAAUUAUUUAGCUAUGAAUAAUUCAUGUAAUUUAUCACUGAGUCUGAUCUCUUACCUAUCACAUGUGCACAGCUGGGAAUUCUUGCAAAUAACAACUAACGUUAAUGCAGUAAAAUUUGUAAACAAUACGGCUGGACGAAAAUGUCAUG